AUUCGGCAAUUUGGGACUGAUCUAUCAAUGAUACAACAACUUUUCCCUGGACGAACACGUCAUCAAAUAAAGUUGAAAUUUAAGAAGGAGGAGCGUCAACAUCCAUUAAGGCUUUCUGAAGCUCUGAAUAGUCGUGCUAAAGAUCNNNNGAAAAAGUGAUUGAGCAGCUGCAACAAGUUGCUGCUCAGGCGGAGCAAGAGUCUAACAGAGGUAACUCAGUCAGUUUGACAGAUGAGGAGGCAGAGUUGAAUCCUGAAACUAAUGUAAGCAUCUUGUUCUUUCCCUUGUAUUCCUAAGAGAUGAU
rnacentral:misc_RNA from 1 species